AUGAUGCCUUGAGACAGCAUGAGCACCAGCUUCUACCGUACCUAUGGACGUGGAUUCAGAAGGUACAGAGGAGCCAAGGUAUGUUCUCCAGCUUCUCCCGUGACGUCUUUGGCUGUACUGUGAUGGUGUUCUGUGAGAGCUUACUUUUGAGGUACCGCGAAGCUUUGUUCGUCCUAUUUGUCGGCAAUCUUUCCUCAUUGAUGUCAAGCACCAGUUGACCAAGGUCAUUGAUUGAUGCGCUUCUCAAGCUCUGGAUUCUCAAUUCUUCAUCUGGUCUGACAAGCCCAUUGACUAGAGCGAUGAAUUGUGCCUCCUUGUCUGUAUUGGAUGAGCUUCCUAACACGGAACAUGCAUGUCUCUCAUCAUCAUUGUCAGCGAAAAGAUGAGCUCUUGCCAUGAAAUGUCCCGGCUAAUUUUAAUCAAGUGCCUCUCACCUCCAACAUACCGGAGUUGGCCAUCACUUGGCCUUGAUUAUCGGCCUGCUCAAGAAGAUUCCAACCUCAGUUGUCACUUAACCUGGGGCAAGGGGCGGCAAUUCUUAAUACCCUGCCAUCGUUUUCUGAUGUCUACGUGGUAUUAAUCUGUGACCGUCAAUUUUUUAUGUGAUCCAGCAUUUCUCAAAAUUGGAUUGAACUCUAUAUUAUAAGGCCGUCCAUGCUCCUAUUAGAAUUUGUUGCUUUAAGGGUUUGUCCGGUUUUGAGGAAAAACUAAGGAUUUGGAAUUCUAAGUACUCUUAGUCUUAUUCGGUUCGUAGGAAGGAAGUAUAGGAAAAUCAAAUGGAAUUUUCCUUUAUUACAAGUUGUAGAUAGUAAGCAUAAAAAAAAUUUAUCCACCUAAACAUCUUGAAAAAAUUCUUAAUAAUCGAUGUGUAUUACUAUUUAUU